rnacentral:sRNA from 1 species
GUCCAGACUGCGGCGGACCAGAGCCAUAGGCUUAGCAUGACCAAGACGGCUGCCGGCCAAUAGCGCGAUGUCAUCAUUGCCAGGCCGGCGGC